GGGCGUAAGCGCGCGCAGGCGGUUUCUUAAGUCUGAUGUGAAAGCCCCCGGCUCAACCGGGGAGGGUCAUUGGAAACUGGGGAACUUGAGUGCAGAAGAGGAGAGUGGAAUUCCACGUGUAGCGGUGAAAUGCGUAGAGAUGUGGAGGAACACCAGUGGCGAAGGCGACUCUCUGGUCUGUAACUGACGCUGAGGCGCGAAAGCGUGGGGAGCGAACAGGAUUAGAUACCCUGGUAGUCCACGCCGUAAACGAUGAGUGCUAAGUGUUAGAGGGUUUCCGCCCUUUAGUGCUGCAGCAAACGCAUUAAGCACUCCGCCUGGGGAGUACGGUCGCAAGACUGAAACUCAAAGGAAUUGACGGGGGCCCGCACAAGCGGUGGAGCAUGUGGUUUAAUUCGAAGCAACGCGAAGAACCUUACCAGGUCUUGACAUCCUCUGACAACCCUAGAGAUAGGGCUUCCCCUUCGGGGGCAGAGUGACAGGUGGUGCAUGGUUGUCGUCAGCUCGUGUCGUGAGAUGUUGGGUUAAGUCCCGCAACGAGCGCAACCCUUGAUCUUAGUUGCCAGCAUUCAGUUGGGCACUCUAAGGUGACUGCCGGUGACAAACCGGAGGAAGGUGGGGAUGACGUCAAAUCAUCAUGCCCCUUAUGACCUGGGCUACACACGUGCUACA
rnacentral:rRNA from 1 species